rnacentral:lncRNA from 1 species
GGGAAGGCUUCCAGUGGAAACUGGGCUGGGACAGGAAGUUGGCUACUGUGAUUUGUCUAACACGUGUCAACCUCCCGGCUGCUCCCAGAAAAGCCAGACAGAGGGAUGACAAAGUUGAGGGUUAGAGGUCACAUGAAAAAAAAAAAAAAAGAAUCACGAAAUGCACUCUGAGAAAGUGAAACCAGAAGCCCUUAAAAAUUGUUCAUCAUACCUUGAGGCAGCCCUUGCUUUUUUCUUUGUUUACAAAAUGAUUUUGGGGUGGCAGGUUCAGUCAAAUGGCUUGGAAGAAACUGAGGGCUUUGGCCAAAAGGUUCAACUUUAAAGAAAACAGAUUUUGGAAGGGCAGGAAGAAUUCCAGACAGAGCUGGGAGUGUCUAAGUUGGGUGCCCGCUUUUGUCGGGGAGGUUUGCUUCCCUUGCGUUUUCUGCCUUGCUUGUCUUCUUUCUCCUGCGCACCACGCCUCCAUUUUUGGCUAUCAGAUACCAGAAAAUCAAUAAAAGUAACUGCGGGUCCCUGCGGGGUGCACCCAGCUCGAUGGGCUAUUCUCCUGGGGUGCCGGAAAGCCUAGGGGAGUCAGGGACUGGCAUUCAACUGUGCUUGCUUCUCUCCAGCAGAGCCGAGGGGAGCCACCGAGACCCCAGACAGCAAACUCUCCUACGGUGGAAGCUCUCUGCUGGAAUCGUUGCCUUUAUCAGAAAUUGGGUCCCAGCAGCACUAGGGCGUGAGGUGGAGGCACCGCUGGGAGGAGCCGGGCAAUCUUUUGUGCUUGAGUCAUGCCAGAGGGACUUGUGGCUGCAAACGGGAAACUUGGAUCCGGUCCAAAUCUGCUCUACCAGGCACAUCCUUCCGUCUCUGCUCUUCAGUUUCCUCAUCUGUAAAAGAGGCCGUGAGCAUCUGCAGCACAGGCUUACUGCAGGCAGCGAAUGAGACCAUGGAGAAAUGCUUUCCAAUAGGUAAUGCCCCACACAAUCAUUAAUAUUUAAAAAACCUUGUGCACCCUGCCCGUGCCCAGCUGUGGGAAGGGAGAACAGAGCCAGCAGCCUGGCCAGCGUCUGCUGUGGCCACCCCAGGUCCCUCUCCCACCCCACUGACCCCGGCCACCCUUCUGCCUGUGACCCUGGGGUCAACACCUCCCCUUAAUGCCUUUCCAUUUCUCAGUUUGCUGACUGGGGUGAUUUUCGGUGAGGUCCACAUAAAUACUUCAAAAAUAAUUCACGAUGAAGAGGAACGCUUCUGGAAUGGAUGAUGGCACGACGAAUUAAACGCUUUAUAGGGCCAAGCGUAAAUUAUUUUAAUGCAUGUAAUAGAUCCGCCCAGGGAGACUUG